UUCCAAAAAUUCUGAUUUUAAUCAAUACUCUUCGGUUAGAAAAAUCCUUGAUUGUUUUGUGUAGCUAUAUCAAAAUAUUUUUGUCAUUUGUCCUAAAUAUUCUUCGUAUUCCUUUGACGUUUCCACUAAGCCCGUCCUUCCGAUAAAUGGUAAAUAUACGAAGCGAUAAUUAAAAGUCCACACAAACUGCAGUUGUUCAACUGUGAGUUUUUUCUCUCUAAAAAAUCC